AGGUUGUCUAGAAGACUGAAGGGAGGGAGGGACGGUGACACAUACGGCAGUCUGCAGCUCGCCAACAUCAGCCCUGAAUAUGACGUGCUGCAGGUUAAAAACAAACACCAGAAAGACACUGUGACUGCACAAGAAGAGGCUGAUGACUACCAGAACACUGGAGAUGGAAACUGAGGCAGACGCAGUGGCUCAUUAAAACUAUAAGCUUGUUGUGUUUCCUUGAAAGCUGGUGUCUUUAAAAGCAUGAUCAAAAAGCAAACAUGAUCAAACGUAAACCUGAACUCUAAAUGGUACAGUUAAACAUUCUUCCUGCAAAUUGUAUUUUCAUUUUUUUAUUGUUUAAAAAUAGUAAAAAGGAAAAGGGGCCUAAAAAUGUGGCAUUUGGCAUGCAGAAGAAUAUUUCUGAGCUAGUGGUGUUCUGCCAGGAAGAAUGGGGAAAAUUCUAAAACCAAGAAUUGAAAAAAAGAGUUACAGAGUACUCAUUGACAGGGCUCCCAGACUUUUGCAUUGCGACUUUUUUUGAAACUAAAGAAUUAAAAUAAAAGUGAUGUUGCUUUAAAUUUGAAGAAAUGUGUCAUGUUUAAUGAUUUAGAGAUCAGGCUUGCUUAGACAUUAAUUUUAAAAGGCAUUUUGAGCAGGGGUGCCAAAAUCUUUGCACCCCACUGUAAAUUUGGCAGUUACCUGUUUUUCUGCAACCGUGUGAAUUUUCAGAGAGGAAACCAAGAGUUGUCCUUGGAAUGGAAUCUUGACUAAAGAAUAAAAUAAAUAAAUAAAUGAAUAAAUUCAAAUGGAAAUGUGCUGUUAGAUGCCAUUUUUGUAAAAUUUUUAUCUGUCUUUAUUUAAUCUGCAGACUGACUGCAUUACGGACGUAUGUGAAACUUUUUUACUCCUGCAUGAAAGGGCAGUUUUUUAUCUUUCACUUCCUGUUUUAGACUAUAUAAGAAAAGGGCACAGCAUUGAGGUCAGAGCAUUGAAGUUAAAAUUAGAUUCUUUUUUCACUGUUUCAUUUUUUCUCCAUCCUGAUACCCAUAACUUUGGCUUAAAAUACUGUAGGUUUUACAGUAAACCUACAGAAAACCUACAGCAGGAUAUGAUUUCAGUAUUUAGGUAUUUUCUGUGAUGCCAUGAUAAAGAAAAGACUGGAUGGGCAUUAAUAUUGGAUUUGUUUAAAUUAAGGUAAAAACUAUUGUAUAUACAGUACGACAACAAUUCUCUUUUAUGAUUGCUCUGUUAAUCUGUCGACAUUACCCGUGAAAUAAAUAAAUAAAAGUUUGCUGGUUCAUCAUUGA